AGGACUUUACGUCUGGCUCCCUCCUUAGAGUCGGUCCAGGUCCAGGCUUGCUGGAUGCUGACGACCGUAGGACGGGUGAGUAAUGCAUUAGAAUCUACCCAGUAGUGGGGGAUAACCUGGGGAAACCCAGGCUAAUACCGCAUACGUCCUACGGGAGAAAGGGGGCUUUGGCUCCCGCUAUCGGAUGAGCCUAUGCCGGAUUAGCUGGUUGGUGAGGUAACGGCUCACCAAGGCGACGAUCCGUAGCUGGUCUGAGAGGAUGAUCAGCCACAUCGGGACUGAGACACGGCCCGAACUCCUACGGGAGGCAGCAGUGGGGAAUAUUGGACAAUGGGGGCAACCCUGAUCCAGCCAUGCCGCGUGUGUGAAGAAGGCCCUCGGGUUGUAAAGCACUUUCAGCGAGGAAGAACGCCUGGUGGUUAAUACCCGCCAGGAAAGACAUCACUCGCAGAAGAAGCACCGGCUAACUCCGUGCCAGCAGCCGCGGUAAUACGGAGGGUGCAAGCGUUAAUCGGAAUUACUGGGCGUAAAGCGCGCGUAGGUGGCUUGAUAAGCCGGUUGUGAAAGCCCCGGGCUCAACCUGGGAACGGCAUCCGGAACUAUCAGGCUAGAGUGCAGGAGAGGAAGGUAGAAUUCCCGGUGUAGCGGUGAAAUGCGUAGAGAUCGGGAGGAAUACCAGUGGCGAAGGCGGCCUUCUGGACUGACACUGACACUGAGGUGCGAAAGCGUGGGUAGCAAACAGGAUUAGAUACCCUGGUAGUCCACGCCGUAACGAUGUCGACCAGCCGUUGGGUGCCUAGCGCACUUUGUGGCGAAGUUAACGCGAUAAGUCGACCGCCUGGGGAGUACGGCCCGCAAGGUUAAAACUCAAUGAAUUUGACGGGGGCCCGCACAAGCGGUGGAGCAUGUGGUUUAAUUCGAUGCAACGCGAGAACCUUACCUACCCUUGACAUCCUGCGAACUUGUGAGAGAUACCUUGGGUGCUUUCGGAGCGCAAGACCAGUGCUGCAUGGCUGUCGUCAGCUCGUGUUGUGAAAUGUUGGGUUAAGUCCCGUAACGAGCGUCAACCUUGUCCUUUAUUUGCCAGCAGUAAUGUGGGAACUCUUAAGGGAACUGCUGGUGGAUAAAUCCGGUAGUGAAGGUGGGGGACAACGUCCAGUUCAUUACUAUGGUUGC
rnacentral:rRNA from 1 species